rnacentral:rRNA from 1 species
UACAGAGGGGGCAAGCGUUAUUCGGAAUUAUUGGGCGUAAAGGGCGCGUAGGCGGCCGGACAAGUGGAAGGUGAAAUCCCCGAGCUCAACUCGGGAACUGCCCUCCAAACUGUUUGGCUUGAGUCCGGGAGAGGUGAGUGGAAUUCCCAGUGUAGCGGUGAAAUGCGUAGAUAUUCGGAAGAACACCAGUGGCGAAGGCGACUUACUGGACACAUACUGACGCUGAGGUGCGAAAGCGUGGGGAGCGAACGGG